rnacentral:misc_RNA from 1 species
AAGUCGUAACAAGGUCUCCGUAGGUGAACCUGCGGAGGAUCAAUUACCAAAGCAUGGCCGGGCCCCCACUGGGCCCCGUCCCCAACCCUUUAGUUGACCCUAAAAUCUUUUUGCCUGCGGGGGCGGAGCGUCCCGCCGCCGCCCCCCGGAGGACCACCGAACGCUGUCUCUUUACGUCGGAGUAUUGAUUAAAUGAAUGAAAA